GCGGAGGAUCAUUACUGAACUGGUCGACACGAGUUGUUGCUGGUCCUCAAAUGGGGGCAUGUGCACGCGUCUGUUUACACAUCCACAUCACACCUGUGCACCCUCUGUAGUUCUAUGGCAUGGGGGACUCUGUCCUCCUGCUGUGGUUCUAUGUCUUUACACACACACUGUAAUUAAAGUCUCAUGGGAUGUAUACCGCGUUUAACGCAAUACAAUACAACUUUCAGCAACGGAUCUCUUGGCUCUCGCAUCGAUGAAGAACGCAGCGAAAUGCGAUAAGUAAUGUGAAUUGCAGAAUUCAGUGAAUCAUCGAAUCUUUGAACGCACCUUGCGCCCUUUGGCUAUUCCGAAGGGCAUGCCUGUUUGAGUAUCAUGAACACCUCAACUCUCAUGGUUUGCCAUGAUGAGCUUGGACUUUGGGGGUCUUGCUGGCCUAUGGUCGGCUCCUCUUAAACGGAUCAGCUUGCCAGUGUUUGGUGGCAUCACAGGUGUGAUAACUAUCUACGCUUGUGGUUUUCCAUCAGGUAACCUUCAGUGAUGGAGGUUNGCUGGGGCUCAUAAAGGUCUCUCCUCAGCGAGGACAGCUUUUUGAACGUUUGAUCUCAAAUCAGGUAGGACUACCCGCUGAACUUAAGCAUAUCAAUAAGCGGAGGAA
rnacentral:rRNA from 1 species